rnacentral:rRNA from 1 species
CUGGAGGUAUCAGAAGUGCGAAUGCUGACAUAAGUAACGAUAAAGCGGGUGAAAAGCCCGCUCGCCGGAAGACCAAGGGUUCCUGUCCAACGUUAAUCGGGGCAGGGUGAGUCGACCCCUAAGGCGAGGCCGAAAGGCGUAGUCGAUGGGAAACGGGUUAAUAUUCCCGUACUUGGUGUUACUGCGAAGGGGGGACGGAGAAGGCUAUGUUGGCCGGGCGACGGUUGUCCCGGUUUAAGCGUGUAGG